rnacentral:rRNA from 1 species
AACGAACGUUGGCGGCGUGGAUGAGGCAUGCAAGUCGCGCGUGAAAGUUCCUUCGGGAGCGAGUAAAGCGGCGGACGGGUGAGUAACACGUGAUCGAGCUGCCCACGAGCCCGGGAUAACCGCGGGAAACUGCGGCUAAUACCGGAUGGCCCUGUCGAUCUGCAUGGAUGGACAGGUAAACGAGGGGGAUCCUUCGGGACCUCUCGCUCGUGGAGGCGAUCGCGGCCUAUCAGUUUGUUGGUGGGGUAACGGCCCACCAAGGCCGCGAUGGGGUCGCUGGUCUGAGAGGAUGAUCAGCCACACUGGGACUGAGACACGGCCCAGACUCCUACGGGAGGCAGCAGUGGGGAAUUUUGCGCAAUGGGGGCAACCCUGACGCAGCAACGCCGUGUGAGUGAGGACGCCUUUCGGGGUGUAAAGCUCUGUCAGCAGGGACGAAGCGCGGGGGCGGAAGAGGCUCCCGGCGGUGACGGUACCUGUGGAGGAAGCCCCGGCUAACUCCGUG